rnacentral:rRNA from 1 species
GAUGAACGCUGGCGGCGUGCCUAAUACAUGCAAGUCGAGCGAACGGCGAGAAGCUUGCUUCUCUGAUGUUAGCGGCGGACGGGUGAGUAACACGUGGAUAACCUACCUAUAAGACUGGGAUAACUUCGGGAAACCGUAGCUAAUACCGGAUAAUAUUUUGAACCGCAUGGUUCAAAAGUGAAAGACGGUCUUGCUGUCACUUAUAGAUGGAUCCGCGCUGCAUUAGCUAGUUGGUAAGGUAACGGCUUACCAAGGCAACGAUGCAUAGCCGACCUGAGAGGGUGAUCGGCCACACUGGAACUGAGACACGGUCCAGACUCCUACGGGAGGCAGCAGUAGGGAAUCUUCCGCAAUGGGCGAAAGCCUGACGGAGCAACGCCGCGUGAGUGAUGAAGGUCUUCGGAUCGUAAAACUCUGUUAUUAGGGAAGAACAUAUGUGUAAGUAACUGUGCACAUCUUGACGGUACCUAAUCAGAAAGCCACGGCUAACUACGUG